GUGGACGCCAGUCUGCAUGGAGCCGGCCUUGAAAUACCACCCUUUAAUGUUUGAUGUUCUAACGUGGACCCGUAAUCCGGGUUGCGGACAGUGUCUGGUGGGUAGUUUGACUGGGGCGGUCUCCUCCUAAAGAGUAACGGAGGAGCACGAAGGUUGGCUAAUCCUGGUCGGACAUCAGGAGGUUAGUGCAAUGGCAUAAGCCAGCUUGACUGCGAGCGUGACGGCGCGAGCAGGUGCGAAAGCAGGUCAUAGUGAUCCGGUGGUUCUGAAUGGAAGGGCCAUCGCUCAACGGAUAAAAGGUACUCCGGGGAUAACAGGCUGAUACCGCCCAAGAGUUCAUAUCGACGGCGGUGUUUGGCACCUCGAUGUCGGCUCAUCACAUCCUGGGGCUGAAGUAGGUCCCAAGGGUAUGGCUGUUCGCCAUUUAAAGUGGUACGCGAGCUGGGUUUAGAACGUCGUGAGACAGUUCGGUCCCUAUCUGCCGUGGGCGCUGGAGAACUGAGGGGGGCUGCUCCUAGUACGAGAGGACCGGAGUGGACGCAUCACUGGUGUUCGGGUUGUCAUGCCAAUGGCACUGCCCGGUAGCUAAAUGCGGAAGAGAUAAGUGCUGAAAGCAUCUAAGCACGAAACUUGCCCCGAGAUGAGUUCUCCCUGAGACUUAGAGUCUCCUGAAGGAACGUUGAAGACGACGACGUUGAUAGGCCG
rnacentral:rRNA from 1 species